rnacentral:rRNA from 1 species
AUGAUGGAGCUAGCCCAGGAGAACAAGAAGGUGAAAAUCUUGAGAUCCUUAAGCCUGCAGAAGAAGGAAGCUGCUAGGCAAGCACAGCUGGGGCAAGAAAAAUCUGCAGUAGCAAAUUUUACCAAGACAAAGGGAACCAAGGUUGCUAACAAGAAAAACAACAAGCAUCCCCUGUCCAAAGAGACUCUAGACUCCAGGAGUGCUCAAGACAUUAUUCGGGAUAAUAACAGGCUUAUGGAUAAAAUAGAAGAAAUCUUGAGAACAGGAGAGGUGAAUAACUGUCUGGACUACUUUUACUAUGUGAAGAUGAACAUGGAUGCUAUGCAGAACAAAGUAAAGGACAUGGCUUCUGUCAUGGAAGGACUCGCGGUAGGCGAUGAAGAAUGGGAGGACGUCUUGAAGGACCGCGGCGACGCACCGCAGGCUGGAGAGGAUGCUGCCACCCCGGCGCCAUGA